rnacentral:rRNA from 1 species
CCUACGGGAGGCAGCAGUGGGGAAUAUUGGGCAAUGGGCGCAAGCCUGACCCAGCAACGCCGCGUGAAGGAAGAAGGCUUUCGGGUUGUAAACUUCUUUUCUCAGGGACGAAGCAAGUGACGGUACCUGAGGAAUAAGCCACGGCUAACUACGUGCCAGCAGCCGCGGUAAUACGUAGGUGGCAAGCGGUAUCCGGAUUUACUGGGUGUAAAGGGGGUGGAGGCGGGAAAGCAAGUCAGAUGUGAAAACCAUGGGCUCAACCUGUGGACUGCAUUUGAAACUGUUUUUCUUGAGUACUGGAGAGGCAGACGGAAUUCCUAGUGUAGCGGUGAAAUGCGUAGAUAUUAGGAGGAACACCAGUGGCGAAGGCGGUCUGCUGGACAGCAACUGACGCUGAGGCGCGAAAGCGUGGGGAGCAAACAGGAUUAGAUACCCUGGUAGUC